AGACGGAGGGGGCUAGCGUUGUUCGGAUUUACUGGGCGUAAAGGGCGCGCAGGCGGCCCGGCAAGUCCUACGUGAAAUCCCACAGCUCAACUGUGGAACUGCGUGGGAAACUGCCAGGCUUGAGUCCGGGAGAGGAGAGUGGAAUUCCCAGUGUAGCGGUGAAAUGCGUAGAUAUUAGGAGGAACACCGGUGGCGAAGGCGGCUCUCUGGACCGGUACUGACGCUGAGGCGCGAAAGCUAGGGGAGCAAACGGGAUUAGAUACCCCUGUAGUCC
rnacentral:rRNA from 1 species